rnacentral:rRNA from 1 species
UACUACCUACGGGGGGCAGCAGUGGGGAAUAUUGCACAAUGGGGGAAACCCUGAUGCAGCGACGCCGCGUGAGUGAAGAAGUAAUUCGUUAUGUAAAGCUCUAUCAGCAGGGAAGAAAAUGAUGGUACCUGAGUAAGAAGCUCCGGCUAACUACGUGCCAGCAGCCGCGGUAAUACGUAGGGGGCAAGCGUUAUCCGGAUUUACUGGGUGUAAAGGGAGCGUAGACGGCAGUGCAAGUCUGGAGUGAAAGGCGGGGUAUAAAUUGACGGACUGCUUUGGAAAGUGU